AUUAUUAUAGCACUUUGAAAAUGAUUUGCACACCAUUGGAAAUAGUAAUUUAUUUUCAUUUCAAGUCAGGUGCUCUUGAAGAAUGUGGACGUUUUCACAUUUAGCAGAGAAAAUCCGAUCUUUUGCGGCUAACGGUACAACGAAUGAUUUGGCUUCAACAAUAAUGGCCGACGUUUUAUUAUUGUUUGUUCAGUCUAUUGUGAGGAAGUAAUCAAGUGGAAAAGCUAGGAGUUGUAUUAUUGCUCUGCCAUUGACAUGUCGGACCGGUGACCUGCCACAAUAAUGAUUAAGCCUGCUUCUUAUCGACAGAUCGGCUAAUAGAUUUCUCUUUCUAACACCCUGAAAUCUUUGUAUGAUUAAAGUAAAAUAGAACACAGUUACAUGUUAAAUUAAAGUAAUUAAUAUAUUCUUGAGAACGAUUUGUUAAUCGUUCACUCACACAUACAUAUGUACGUCUUAUUGUUUAUUUUCGUGUAAGUGGUAGUUUUGUAAGCUACAAUGGCUACUUCAUAAAUUAUUUACCAAAUGAAAAUUGUUAACAUUAAUAGCUUUAACUCAAGAGAAAUACAAGUCAAUUAAAAAGUUCAAGGACCAAGUUAAUUUUCAAUUUUUACUUCGACCAUUAUUAUUUUUUAUACUUACAUGAUCGCUGUAUACAUUAAUAUUCAUUGAGCUUAUUUAUUUUUCGACGUUGUAGUUAACACAAUAAUUUAUGUGGUUGUAGUUUUUUUCUAUUAAUUUAGCCAUCCGUUGCGUGUUAUUUUUGCCGGAAGAGACUUUUAAAAAUUAAAAUACCUAAUGUAAAUAAAUUUUCCUAUCACAUA